GAUGAACGCUGGCGGCGUGCCUAACACAUGCAAGUCGAGCGGCAGCGAGGGGUGCUUGCACCCUGUCGGCGAGCGGCGGACGGCUGAGUAACGCGUGGGAACGUGCCCCAAAGUGAGGAAUAACUGCCCGAAAGGGUAGCUAAUACCGCAUAUUAUCUUCGGAUCAAAGGAUUUAUCCGCUUUGGGAGCGGCUCGCGUCGGAUUAGGUAGUUGGUGAGGUAAUGGCUCACCAAGCCGACGAUCCGUAGCUGGUCUGAGAGGAUGACCAGCCAGACUGGAACUGAGACACGGUCCAGACUCCUACGGGAGGCAGCAGUGAGGAAUCUUCCACAAUGGGCGAAAGCCUGAUGGAGCAACGCCGCGUGCAGGACGAAGGCCUUCGGGUUGUAAACUGCUUUUAUAAGUGAGAAAUAUGACGGUAACUUAUGAAUAAGGAUCGGCUAACUACGUG
rnacentral:rRNA from 1 species